rnacentral:lncRNA from 1 species
GUGUUAGUACCAUAUUUGUGAAACCUAUGAUUUCAUCUAAUUGUUAAUUCCAUUCUAAUUUCUCCCACCCAGAAUUCAAUGCAAAAGCAAUCACCAAGUUUAUUAGGGCAAUGAAGGGAAGAAGAAUUAACAAGACCUGGGUCCAAACAUGAAUCUGAGUUUCUCAAGACCACUCAGUGCCUGACCUUGCUCUCCGGGCUAUCGAGGUUUGGAGGAGCAGUUCUUGUCUGAUGGACACCUGUCAUCUGCUAUCAGGACCUA